UGACGAUUUCAAUCAGCUAUCAAAUCAUCGAUGAGAUCCGCGUCGAGUUUCAAAAGCUAUCGGAACAUGCAACAAAGUUGAUACUUUUUUCAAUAAUUCAAAAGAAAAAUACAAUGUUUUAAACGAACUUGUUUGUGCUAACAUGAUAAAUUCAAACUGAAGUCGUUCGUUGUCGUAACCAGUGAACAUAAAACAUAUUGAGGUUUUGUAAUAAUCAGCGGUGAGCCCUCAGGCAAAAGAAAAAUUCCCGGCGAUCGGCAUGAAGAUAGCGGUUGAAGGAUGUGCUCACGGCGAGCUGGAGAAGAUUUACGAUGUGAUCGAAACAAUCCAGACCCGGGAAGGGUACCAGAUUGAUUUGCUCUUAUGCUGUGGCGAUUUCGAGGCGACGAGGAACCUGGAAGACCUGCAGUGCAUGGCCGUGCCGCAGAAGUUCAUGGACAUUGGCACCUUUUACAAGUAUUACAGCGGUGAGAAGAAAGCUCCCGUCUUGACCCUGUUCGUCGGAGGCAAUCACGAGGCUUCCAAUUAUCUCCAGGAACUUCCGUACGGAGGUUGGGUCGCGCCCAACAUCUACUAUCUGGGUUACGCCGGAGUUGUGAAUGUGAAUGGCAUCCGGAUUGGGGGUUUAUCGGGAAUCUACAAAGGGCACGACUACCUCAAGGGUCGGUUUGAAUUUUCCCCCUUUAACGAGUCGACGAAACGUAGCGUUUACCACAUCCGGCAGAUCGAUGUGUUCCGGCUGAAGCAACUGACACCGAAGGUGGAUAUCCUUUUGUCGCAUGAUUGGCCUCUCGGCGUGACGGAUUAUGGCAACGCGAAUCAGCUUUUACAAAUCAAGCCGCACUUUAGGGAGCAGAUUGAAGGUCACAAACUGGGAAGCCCGCCCUGUGAUGUCUUGCUGAGGACUUUGAAACCGCUUUAUUGGUUUUCGGCACAUAUGCAUUGUAAGUUCUCGGCGCUGAUUCCGCACGACGAUGGCAAGGACACCAAGUUUUUGGGGCUGGACAAGUGCCUACCCAAGAGGAAGUUCCUGCAGGUGCUGGACAUAGAGUGUGAGGAAGCAUCUAGUGGAGUUUCGUUGUGCUACGAUUUGGAAUGGUUGACUAUCUUGCAUCUGACGAAUCAUCUAAUCAGCAUUAGGGGAUGGAAAGGCUAUAUGCCAGGCGAAGGUGGCGGAGAGCGAUUCAAAUUUACCCCAACCGAAGCGGAGAAACAGAUGAUUCUUGAACGAUUCCAGAACGAUCUCCGCAUUCCGCAGAAUUUCACACGGAUAGUUGAACCUUAUAACCCUGCGAUGAAACAGGAUAUGGAUCUGGUUGGCCAACCGAAGGCAUUUUUGAAUCCCCAGACGACAGAAUUUUGCGACAAGCUCAAAAUUGAUGAUCCCCUGCGAUUGGUAAUGCUAAUGACCGGACAUGCCCUCAAUACUUCAACCUACGUAGAUCAGAACCCGUCCAGUGUUUCAAUUAGUUCCGAGCGUAACGAUGAUGAAGUCCUCCUGGACGAUGACGACGAUGGAUCGUGCCCUAAUGAUGACGAGGAGCAGAAACCGUCUCAUAUUCUCUCCCGAGCUCCGCUAGCUUCGGUCAUUCCGAAACCAAUGUGGCGCCACGAUUCAAACUCGGAUGUUUCCACGCUGGAUGAUUCGUCACUGUCCACUUCGAACAUGAGUCUGCCCACGCCGAAGAAGGACUCAAAUCUGUCGGAUAAUUUCACCAUUGAAAAUUUGAACCUGUCCAGCCCUAAGCUCUCUUUGGUGGUCGAUAAGGGAUCACCUUCACCUUCAUCUUCGCUAUUGGACGGGAUCAGCAAAUUACCCGCAGGAGAUAGCAAAAGCGAUGAUCCAUCCGAAAAGCCACCGAUGAAAAAGUUCAAACGAAGGAAUCAAGCCAUCUACAACAAGGAGGAUAGCGAUUGAGAAUAUGCGCAGUUGAUGGAUUGCCAAGAAUCGUGUACAUAUUCCGAUCGUUCACAUAUAAGAGAUUAUCGACGUUUGGGCAUCGAACUCGAAUAGGUACUUGUGAAACGAAGUCCUAAAUCUGAUUUGAACCAAUUACAUUCGAAGAGGAACAUUGAGCGUUUGCGUUGAAAAAUAAAGUGAUUCUCCGUAUUAUUCCAGAUUUCAUCCAUGCUUAAUUUCAGAGUCACCUGAUGCCGCCUGUUAUAAAUGACUGUUUAUUUUAGAUUUAAAACUGUACAAGGUAUGUAACUCCCACAGGAGCAAGUGUAAAAUAAUCAGCGCACGUUUCCUAACCGGGGAUUCGAGGAUUUCUGACCUAGUUGAAAGCUGACUGAAAACUGCAUCUCUAACAUAAUGUUUUAAUAUGUUCAAUCCGCCUAAUGAACAGAAGAACUAGCUGAAUAAAAAAAAUAAACAGGGCACUUGAACGUCCUUCGUUAACCAUAAAGCAA